AAUGGAAAUUGGACGCCUGAAACUUUUUCCUGCUGUUCUCAUCAUUCUUCAAGCUCUCUCCACAACCCAUAUAUCAAUCCUGCAGGUAGCUGACGCUGUAAACUCUAAGCUUUUUAGAGAAUAUAUAGGAGCAAAUUUCAAAAAUGUCGCAUUCGAUGAGGUUCCCAUUAACCCAAAUGUUGAAUUUCACUUCAUUCUUUCCUUUGCUAUAGACUACGAUACUUCAUCUCCUCCUUCCCCUACCAAUGGAAAUUUCAAUGUGUUUUGGGAUUCUGGUAAUCUUAGCCCUUCCCAAGUUUCCUC
rnacentral:misc_RNA from 1 species